GGAAGUCGCGUUCUUUACAUCUGGGAGCGGGGCUGUCCCAGCAUCAGGCGCAGCAGCUGCACUUGUCCGACGCCCCUUUGCAGAUGCAGCCCUGGGCACACUUGGCACAGCCCACAGGGCAGCAGGAGCAGCAGCCUGGGGGCAGACAGGAGGCGGCAGAGAUGAGUACUAGCGACACCGGGAAUAAGGAUUCCUGCUCUCCCUGAUAAGGAUCACUGAGGAGGCAACAAUUUCCGCGCAAUGGGGCAUCCCCAGACUGCUUUAAUUCCCCUGAGGAUGGUGGAGAGGGGACAGGCUGGAGGACAGGGAAGGGGUAGAGGAAAGAGAGGAUCCCACUUACUUUUCUUGCAGGAGGUGCAUUUGCACUCUUUGCAUUUGCAGGAGCCGGCGCAGGUGCAGGAGUCACCUGCAAGGAGAAAAGACAGAGGUGAGAACCGUCCCUGGAUACCUGAACAAGGGACGGCGUACUAAGAGCCCGGGGCCGAGUUCCUCAGUCCACAACCGAUUCCUGGGAACUUGAGCAAGCCAUUAACUCAGAUCUCCUUAACGGUAAAAAGGGGGCUCCGAAUAACCUAGAAUGGAGAGAAAGAUACCCCAAAACUCUUUGGGAAGGAGCAACUCCUGUCCUGAAAUUGAGUGACC
rnacentral:lncRNA from 1 species